GGGUGUGAGUUUCCCUAGAGACCUCUGUCCACCCACAAUGCUGCCCGAGCCCUCCCUUUGAGAGGCUUGGGUCACUUCUACCCCCAGUCCUGGCGGUCCUUUGUGCAUUAUAAACCCAAAGGCAUGCAAACAAAUGUUUCAGAGGCUGGACUUCAGGCAGGCAACUGGGACCGACCUUAGGCUGCUCCUGUAGCAGCUCCAUCACCGGCCUGUGCACGGAACCUGGCACAACAAGCUCAAAUGCUCAGCCAGGUUCCCUCAGACACCAGGAAAUCAUCCCAACUAAAAGAAGUCCAGUUUUGAGGAGGGAGAACCCAGGAAAAGAGCAGCUCAGCUCACCAACCCCAAGCAGGAGUCUAGUUGGUGAAAAGACCAGAAAACCAGAAAGGAGGAGAGGCCGACUCUGACCCUGCCUUCCUGCAGCCAGUGCAGCCUGAGCAGGCGGCUGGGCAAAAAUAAUCAUUUUCAUUUUCCUGUCGCCCAGGCACUGGUGAGUUUCCUAACCGGGCUGCCUGUGAAAGGAUGAGUUGAGGUCUCUUUGUCUGAGAAAAGAG